AUGCAGCGUCUCAGUCCGCGCCCCUUUUCGCCUCUUUUCCGUGCGCUUCGCUCUGUUUUCGUCCCCUUCUCCCGUGCGCGUGUGCGUUGUUCUUGAGCCUCUCGUCUGCUGGUUCUCGCCGCGUCUGCCACGCCUCCUCCGUGUCUGCUCGCCCACAAGCACACACACAUAAAUACGGAAAGAGGGAGCGAGGGAUAGAGUGAGAGGAGCAGGGGUCACACACAUACACACAUCUCUUCUCUCUCUCUCUUGGUGCUCUCAUCAGGCGCUCAUCCCCCCUUGGCAUCGUCGCUCCGUGCCUUCUCUCCCGUUUUACGGCCCCCGCUGACUUUCUGCGGUGGUGCGGAUCGAGGCGCACGCACGCGCACAGGCGCAGUUGAUAGCAGCAUCUUGUGGUGCCGUAGAGUGAGCGUGUGCGCGCGACUCCUGGAAAGGCACAAGCGAAAAGAUGUACACGCAAACGACGCCGUUGCUGCGCGGCCUCUUCUCAAGGAAGCAGGACAUGCAGUCGAUGGUCGAAGGCCACUUCUGGAGCCUCACGCGGUACCGCAUUCUGCCGCGGUUUCUCGGCCUUGACUUCGCUGGCAACGUCAUCUUCUUUCCGUCCCACCGCAAGCAAGGCUUUGGUGGAUGGACGGCCGUCACGCUAGGUGCGCCGGGUAGUGCAAACUCGGCCUUUCUCAGCUCGGACAUGAGCGGUGUGAACGUCCUCGAGGAUGGCUACCCGCUACACUACAAGGCGAGCCGCAAGCUGCAGGCCUUCGUGGCCCAGGAGCGUCGCCGCUGGCAGAAGAAGCAGGCGGAGGCGAUGGCGGCCGCGGCAAAGGCCAAGGCUGACAGUGAGGCAGCUGCAGAGGCAACAAAGAUGUCUGCGGAAACUGCGAAGAGUGGCCAGGCCAUCAAUGUGGCGAUCCCGCAGGAGCACAUGGCGAGCUACGAUGACGACCAGCAGUUCCGCGACAUGCUUGCUAUCAAGUGCUCACAGCCGCGCUUCUACACCAGCCAGCUGCGUGUCAGCCGUCUUGCCACUAUCAUGUACAAGUGUCUCUACUUUUACCUCUGGGCUGUGUUUGUGUCGCUCAUCGUGCAGGGCUACCUCAUGUUCCGUGCCUGGGUAAACCCCCCGGCUCGCGAGGGACUCAAGAACAUCGAGGAGCACGUUCUGCACAUUCCACGGCUGCUUUUCUCGGGAUGUGUGUACGGGCUCGUGUGGCUCGUGCGCACCGCGCAGCCGGUGAUCGACCCUGUCGUGAACUUUUUGACGGAGAACUUUCCCCAGGUGAACUGGGGCGCCGCCUCUGCCGAGAACCUGGCAAGCCGGGCACAGCACCUUGCCGACGACGCGCACCCCAAGGCAAAGGAACGCAGGCAGAAGGAGAUGCAGCUAAAGCUGCAGACGGAAGCAGAGCGCCGCACGUGGUGGACGCGUGUCUUGAUGGUGCUGCUGGCCGUCUUCUCCGUCCUCUGCGUUCUUUGAGCAACACGUAAGAGGGCAGCGAAGCGAAAAGGAAAAAGAGAAGGGCCGACCUCGACUCAGAGAGAGAGAGCGCAGCCCUGCUGCGGCGGAGCUGAAAAGGGGCCGUUGCACCCCUGCCUCUUGCGCGCACACACACACACGGACGACCUGAUGCAUGCCAAUGCCCCCACACUUGUUUUCCGUCUCCUUCCCUCUUGCUCCCUUUCUUGUACUCUUUGCUUGUGUUUUGGUACCUUUUCUUGGCCGGAGGAGUGCCCUCUGACCUCCUUGACGUGUCUUGCUGUCUGUGGAUGUGAGUCCUCUCGCUGUCUUUCGAUUCUCAUGUACAUGCGUGAUGGCACGCGCGCACGUUGGCGCGUUGCCUUUCUCAUGAUCUUCUUUAGACCAGUGUAUGCUGUCCGAUGGGGUCUAGGUGUAGCUGUUUCCUCGUUGUUCUCUUGUUCUUCUCAAGGAGGGUGCAGUGAGGGCAGGCCUUGUUUAAUGUAAGCGUUGUUGUCGUGUACAUGCGUCUCUGUUUGAGGAGAGGGGGAUUGCCUCUGUCUAUGCGGUGCUCUGGCGUGCCAGUGCCCAGCUGCGCCCUGUCCUCUCUCUCUAUCCCCACCUCACCCCACCCCCACUUGCCUGGUCGUUCGACGGUUCUGGUUCCUUUGACUGUCGCCCUUGUCCACUGUCCUCCUUGCCUCUCUCUGCCUCUGCCUCUGCCUCUGUGUGUGUGCGCGCGCGCCAUUGUUGCGGCGGUAUCACUACAAAACAAGGUAUGCGUACAUGUGCUAUGCACGUCCUCGCUAACUUUAUUGUCCUUCCAACCUCCAUCUCUGUGUGUGUGUGUGCGCGCUCCUCUGUCCCUGUGCGUGUCUAAGUGCGGGCGUCCGCGUUAGCGUGCCCGUCUCUAUGUGAGUGGGUCUUUUCCGUGGAAGGGCCGUCCAGACUCGCCCACACAAACGUCAACUAAACAAUGACCACCAUCGAAGCUCGAGAUGCGGGCGGGGAUCGGGUUGCUGAUUCCGCCCUCUCCUGCUGGCCGAUAGGGUGGAUGCACCGUGGGCGGGUGUCAUUUAUUUGCUUCCUUUCACCUACGAAAGAGGCGGCGGUGUGCAUGCGCAUCUCCGUGCCCGUAUUUUCUGGUGUCUGCGCUCACCGGAGUCAC
rnacentral:misc_RNA from 1 species